UGGAUAUCGAUGACUGAUUACCUGAGAAAUAAUUGAUGAAAUCUCAAGAAAAUUCCUCUAGAUAGUCAAGUUCUGAUCCAG
rnacentral:snoRNA from 10 species